UAUUUUUAUUUAUGGGUUUCGGCCCGUAGCCUUGUGUUCGCCCUAUAUCAUGUUCGCCUUGGGUACUGUUAACCCUUCGAUUCAGUGAAAGUAAUGAACGGAGAAAAAAACACUUUUUUUUUUAAAUUGUAUAAUGUAUUAUUCAUAACAGUAACACAAUUGUAUUGGUUGUGUCUUGUCUAUAUUUUAUAUCUGAUACGCAACAUAUUCUUGAAGUGUCAGAAAUAUUUUGCCAGCAAUAGUUCUUCCCCAUAGUAAAUACUGGAAACCAUACACUAUUGCAUACAUGCAUCUAGUCCAAAUUUUUUACGCUCUUAAAUAUUAAUUUAAGCUGUCCUACCGUAACCCAAAUUCGACGACACCUAAAUUCGACGAUGUUCUAUUUGUAUUGAUUAAAUGGAUGAUUAUUGUCUUGGAAUCAUUUCAAAGUAAUACAUCGGAGUCUAAAAUUAUUAUUUUGUGCUAUUAAACAUUUCAUUAUUUCUUUAAUUAUUUGCUAAAUAUUGCUUCAUGUAAUCGUUACAUUGUCGAAUUUGGGUCACAGUUUGCAAAUAGAUGCCCCUAAUGUUAUUGUAAGCCAAUAAUAAGUUUCAUUAACACCUCGUUGUAGGUAUACCACCUCUAUAAAAACCAAUUUACCGAAACCUCCACGGCAACCUUGGAUCACUUCUCUUUCUUAUAUAUAUAAACCAACUCCCUUCUUCCGUCACUAAAUCCAAGGUUCGCCUUUUUGCAGACGAUACAGCUAUUUACCUCACUGUAAACUCUCUCUCAGGUUGUGCAUCUCUGCAACAAGACCUAGACAAGCUUCAGGAAUGGGAACAAGAGUGGGACAUGGAAUUUAACCCAUCAAAAUGCCAGGUCCUACACAUCACAAGGAACCGCAACGUCAUUGAACACGGUUACUUUCUCCAUGGCCAAGCUCUUGAGUCCGUCUCUGAUGCUAAAUAUCUUGGACUCGAUCUCUCUUCUGACCUCAGCUAUAAUACACACAUUGACAGAAUCACCAACAAUACAAACAAAUCACUAGGCUUCAUUAAAAGGAACAUCACAACACAUAAUUAAAAGGUACGAGAACUCGCAUACAAGUCUCUGGUCUGACUACAAGUUGAAUACGCUUCCACUGUCUGGAGCCCAUAGACCAAAACUGCCAUCAAUAAAGUGGAAAGAGUGCAGAACCGGGCUGCACGCUGGGUGCAGCGAGAUUACUCUCCCUUUUCCAGUGUCUCGGCCAUGGUACAAGAUCUAGGCUGGAGAUCGCUCGCAGAUCGUAGAAAUGACAGCAAACUCAUCAUGUUCUACAAAAUCUAUCACAACCUUGUUGCCAUACCUCUCCCUCAAUAUAUAAAAGCAACAAUCCGCUUCACUAGACACAUGCACCCACUGUAUCUACAAAAGAUACAGACAGGAUCACUCUACCACUAUUACUCCUUUUUCCCACACAGCAUCACACUAUGGGACAAGCUCUCAGCUGAUAUCGCUACCCUAUCCGAUCUUGAAAAGUUCAAGAGGGCAGUGGUAAAUGUGCGGUACUAGUCUGUUAAAUGAUGUUUUUAACCCUCACUUUUAUCUUUCACCUUCACUAGACUCUUUUAACCACUUGACUUCUCUCCAUUCUCCUGGAGAUUUCAAGCUUUUAGUCUCACUACCCAACAAUAUCCUUUGCUGGGUCCUUUUUACCUUUCACACUCACUAAUGUUCCUGACGUGCACCUUUUCCCUGCCUAUAAUACUCGAAAGAGCGGUUUGCAGUAUACAGAGGUAGAUAGAUAGCAUUUACUAUAUAAAUCAAUUUACGGAACUUGUCAUUUACCGAAACCUCCAUAACCCCACUGGGAUACUUUUUAUAUAGACACCAAACGCAAAGCCUAUCCCAAGGCAAUGCCCCAUUUGCGUGGUAAAGAGCAAGACGACUAUGUACCUCCAGGUAGCAGACCACGUUCGCUGGGUGCAAGCACUGACGGCAGACCCCAUGAAGCCGUUAAUGUCCGAGGCACGUGCUAAGACCGGGCGGAAAGUGAAGAAGACAAAGCCGAGGAAUUACUACUCUUGCUGGCUGUGCGACCGGUCGGUGAUUGACCGGCUGCGUCAUCUAGAACAGGAGCACAAAAUGGAGGCUGGGACAUUCAAUUUCGUUUACACAAGAGGGCCGUUUCCGGAAGGUCACAAAAACUUAAGGAAAGGUGACCAGCAGACUCGCCACUCAUGAUGACUCGGCAUAGGAGGAUGAGAAGGUGGAGGAUGAGGAGGAGGAGGAAGAGGACUUUUCGUUCCUAACGCGGAAAUACUGCCUGAGCCUGGAACCCAAUGCAAGGGUGAUGCAUGGUCGGAGAAGCUGCAAGUAACAAUAUGGAUUGCUUAUAUAGUGUAAAGUCUCGAGUCCGUUUACGGGGUAGAACCAGUACUUGGUGCAUUAAGCCCUGUUUUCCCAGAUUUUUUUAAAUUAUAUACAUUUCAAUUGAUAGUCAUUAUUAUUGCAACAUGUAUAUAUCUUAAAAACCGUGAGGAAAUAUAUAUAAGUACAUUAAAAUUUAAGAUAAAUAUUAUUUAUUUAUAAUACUUUGGAAUUACUGGUUGUGAGUUAAUUAUAUGCGAUUUCACCAUCUAGCAUAGAAUAUCAUCCAAUAAUACUUGUUGCAGUUUCAAUCGUUGACUCAUAUGUAGGCUACAUGUUCCUGCUGAGCAGGCCAGGUGGGUUGACAAACGAGUCGAAAACACAAGAGGUCAACAUGAAGAUCAACCGGUUCCUGGCCCUGUCUGGCUACUUGGAAGGAGUGGUGUUGAGUGACGUGCUGUUGUGGAAGGGCCAUAUGGAGGUCCACGACAGUUCCUUAACACCACUCACCAGCUGAAGACGGUGCAGACUGCACUAACGGCAAUCAAGAACUUCCUGAAGUGGUGCGAGGGAACGGUCUAGCGGACGCCCGCGCAUUGAACAAUUCCGAUCUCCUUCUCACAGGCUGCCUGACUUCAACCCGCCUGGAUAUGAGCCGUCGCGAGGUUAUUCGGAGGGUAGAGGACAGUGCCGCCAUCCUGACGGACGCAAACCUGGAGCGCCACUUCACUGAGAGUGAGCAUGUAGUGAAAACGAUCAAGGUGAUCCAGGAGCCCCCAGCUGGCACACCUGAAAGAUAUUCGGGGAAUAAUUAUUAAACUGAUAGCGCUCUAUAACGCCUCCUGAACCGGCAGGUAUACAAACCUGAGGUGGUUCUUGCUUAAGUGUCAUCAGGAUGAUUUGGUCAUUUCAGAGAUGUACCCUUUAUAGCUCAACUUGAGUUAUUGUUGCUGGUCUUUGUCUGUUUUGCGAUGUGUGUCUAUAUGUCAACAUUUUUACUUUAACAAUAUCUCCUACUUAACCUUUGGGCAAAGCUUGAUGAAACUGGCAGGAAUAUUCCUGGCAUGAAGCUCCUUCAAUGUUGCUCCAAGAAUUGUAUUCCAUGAAAUCCUUGUUGCCGUGGAAACCAAAAGGAAAAACUUUAAAAAUCUACUCUGAAACUGCAAGGCCUUGGGCUGAGAUAUUUAGCAUGAAACAUUGUGUGGUGGACCUUUACCCGUGGGCAAGUCGAUUUUUUGUCGAGCCCACUUAUGGAGAACUCGACAUAUUUGUCACAGUUGGCGGUUUGGUGUAUGUGGAUCAGUCCGUCAGUAUGAAAGUCCGGGUUAGGCUUGUCUGGAGCGUAGGAGUACCUAAAGAUUGAGCUGGAGACAGUGAAGGUGCUGACCUCUGUGUGGAACACUUAGCAGCUGGCAAGUUUUCAUAUUGAAGGGCAUGGUUCCCAACCGCCCAUCACACACAGAAUGUAGCUUGUCGUCUUCUGCAGUAAAAACUGGGUGCUGGAAGAUGCUUUCUGCUAUAUUGACUGCUUCCAAGCGCUUCCUGGACCUAAAAAUUAUCUCCCAGCAGCAACCUCCCCAAGGUGUGACGAGAGUCUUCAAGUGUUCCAGACGGCUGGUGAUGCAUUUCAAGAAAAGCCAUCAGAAUCUUGCAAUGAUCUGUAUACUUAAUAAAUGACAAAACAACGA